AUUGAACGCUGGCGGCAGGCUUAACACAUGCAAGUCGAACGAGUGGCGGACGGGUGAGUAAUGUCUGGGAAUCUGGCUGAUGGAGGGGGAUAACUACGGGAAACUGUAGCUAAUACCGCAUACCAUCGGAUGUGCCCAGGUGGGAUUAGGUAGUUGGUGGGGUAAAGGCUCACCAAGCCGACGAUCCCUAGCUGGUCUGAGAGGAUGACCAGCCACACUGGGACUGAGACACGGCCCAGACUCCUACGGGAGGCAGCAGUGGGGAAUAUUGCGCAAUGGGCGCAACCCUGACGCAGCCAUGCCGCGUGUAUGAAGAAGGCCUUCGGGUUGUAAAGUACUUUCGGUGGGGAGGCGUUAACUGCAGAAGAAGCACCGGCUAACUCCGUGCCAGCAGCCGCGGUAAUAC
rnacentral:rRNA from 1 species